rnacentral:rRNA from 1 species
CACCGCGGUUAUACGAGAGACCCUAGUUGACUGCAUAAUCGGCGUAAAGGGUGGUUAAGGAUAUACAUUAAUAAGGCCAAAUGGCCCUUUGGCCGUUAUACGCUUCUAGGUGUCCGAAGCCCCAUUUAUACGAAAGUAGCCUUAAUAAACAAACCCGACCCCACGAAAACUGAGAAA